rfam:Fukomys damarensis contig114751, whole genome shotgun sequence.
GUCUUCUUAGCGCAGCUGUCAGCGCGUCAGUCUCAUAAUCUCAAUGUCCUGAGUUCGAGCCUCAGAGAAGGCA